rnacentral:lncRNA from 1 species
ACCGCCUAUAGUUUUCGAGAUUGUCGGCGUGCUAAGUCCUUUCUAUUUCUUGCCCGUCCUCGUAUCCUAGGUGGAAGAUACUUGGAUAAAUCUUGUCCAUGAUGACGUACGGGCCCUCCCAUCUUGCCGACAACUUCCCCUUCGUCUGGUCCACCCCCGUUACUUUGGCGUUUCUCAGUACGAGGUCGCCCGGUGCCAAGUUCUUCUCGACCACUCUUUCGUUGUGGUACCUCGCCGCCCUUCGCUUGUAAGUGAGGUCC